CAGCCGCCGCGGUAACACGUAGGUGGCAAGCGUUGUCCGGAAUUAUUGGGCGUAAAGGGCUCGCAGGCGGUUUCUUAAGUCUGAUGUGAAAGCCCCCGGCUCAACCGGGGAGGGUCAUUGGAAACUGGGAAACUUGAGUGCAGAAGAGGAGAGUGGAAUUCCACGUGUAGCGGUGAAAUGCGUAGAGAUGUGGAGGAACACCAGUAGCGAAGGCGACUCUCUGGUCUGUAACUGACGCUGAGGAGCGAAAGCGUGGGGAGCGAACAGGAUUAGAUACCCCUGUAGUCCCUGUCUCUUAUAC
rnacentral:rRNA from 1 species